rnacentral:rRNA from 1 species
AUUGAACGCUGGCGGCAGGCCUAACACAUGCAAGUCGAGCGGAUGAAGGGAGCUUGCUCCUGGAUUCAGCGGCGGACGGGUGAGUAAUGCCUAGGAAUCUGCCUGGUAGUGGGGGAUAACGUCCGGAAACGGGCGCUAAUACCGCAUACGUCCUGAGGGAGAAAGUGGGGGAGCUUCGGACCUCACGCUAUCAGAUGAGCCUAGGUCGGAUUAGCUAGUUGGUGGGGUAAAGGCCUACCAAGGCGACGAUCCGUAACUGGUCUGAGAGGAUGAUCAGUCACACUGGAACUGAGACACGGUCCCGACUCCUACGGGAGGCCGCAGUGGGGAAUAUUGGACCAUUGGCGAAAGCCUGAUCCAGCCAUGCCGCGUGUGUGAAGAAGGUCUUCGGAUUGUAAAGCACUUUAAGUUGGGAGGAAGGGCAGUAAGUUAAUACCUUGCUGUUUUGACGUUCCCAACAGAAUAAGCACCGGCUAACUUCGUG